UCUCAUUCCAGCGAAGGAUUGCGAUCUGUGAAAAAGCCCCAAAAAUUGCUCAACACCAAUACAUUCAUUAUGUUUGGGUCGUUGAUUUGUAGCGAUCUGAUUUUCUGGUGGGUUUAGGGUUGUUGUAGGUUUCUGAUACCUCCUCCCUUUUUCUAUCGCCGGUGUGUCGGAUAACAUUCUUUCGAUCUUCUAGUGUCUGCUAUGUUCUGUUCAGAUGAAUUUGGGGUUGAGGGUAAAAUUUAUUUUUGCUGUAUUGGGUCCCUUGUUCAUUCGUGGACCUGUUCCCGUUUUUUUAUCAGAUUUGACUCCACGAUCUGGUUGGAUAAUGGGUGUUUGUGCUAUCACCGGAAUCUGAUUCGAACUACCAUCAUCUCUUACCUCCAACAUCCUCCCAUCGCCGUUAGGCCCACCCAUCCUCUGUUCGACCUUGAAUCUGAUAGGUGGUGACUUUGGUUGCUCUGGUUUGGUGGUUGGUUGUUGUAGUCGAUUGAUUUGGUGUAACAUUAAAUACAUGUAGAUCGCAUAGGUAUCAGCUCCAUGUAGAAAUCAUUUUUGGGUAUUCAGACCACGGGGGGAGAGAGAUUGUAGAGCUUCAAGAGAGAGAGAGAGGGUUUUGGGAGAGAGAGAAAAAUAGGGAGAGAGAUAUAAGGAUAUGUUUUAUUUUAAUUAUAAAUGUUAAAUUAGGUUUUGAC
rnacentral:lncRNA from 1 species